GGGAAGGGUGGGCGCCAGAGCCUGCCCUCCGCCCGGGUGGGGCGCGGCGGCGCUCGCCUCCCGCGCUCGGCGAUUGGCUGGCGCCUGCCCCGCGCUCGCCCGCCCCUGGCACUGAUGCUGCGGGGAUCCUAGGUGUGAGCAAAGGUCGCCUUCGGAAGGGCUGCCCGGUUUCGGAGCUGCAGGCAGGACAUCCUGUAAUACAGGCGUGCCCCAAACGGUGAAGUGACAGAUGACCUUGAACUUCUCAACCUACUGCCUCCACCUCCCAACGUGCUGGAAUAAACUACCACCCCAAGUUUUAUAAGGCUCGGGGAGCUGUGGGGAAGAGGAGGCAGAAGAUUGGAAGAGCCAGAGGUGAUGGAGGACUUCAAAGAAAGCGUGAGUCAGACACAACACGACUGAAGCACAUAAGAAGUCAUACAGACUAUGAUAGCAUACUUAAGACCUGACAAAAAAAAUCCCAGCACGGUGGAGAAUUGAACACAAAGCUUCACCCUGAACCAAGAAGCUAUUUGCCAAACGAGAAGCUGGUAACUGGAAAAUCAAUUUUCUCCAAUGGAGUUUCACUACAUAGAUUAACCACACCCCAGGACAGGCCUGGUGCCCAGAAGUAGUUGGUUAACACAGAAUAACCCCAUGUUUUUGGAUUUGUUUGUUUGUUUCUGAACUUUUUGUUUUGGUUUGGUAUUUUAUUGGUCUUUUGCUUGUUUGAUUUUUGUGUGUCUUUAUGGGCCUUGUUUUGAGAGAGUGAGAACAAAGUUGGGUGUGAAGGGAGAUGGAUCUGGGAGGAGCUGGGGAGGGGAAAAAUCAAGAUCAAAAUAAAUUGUAUUAAAAAGAAAUUAUUAAACAGGUCAGAAAAAAAAUGGUCUACCAGUUUGUUACACUACUGAGAAGUGGCAGAACCUUUAGGAAGAAUAUCCUGAUGGAAGUUAAUCACUGGGACCCCAGUCCCCACCCCUUUCCUGGUCACCAGGAGCCCAGCAGCCUUGUCUUCUUCCCCUUUCCUUCCCAUGAUGUUCUGCUACACUACAGACCACAGCAGGAAGCCUGUUAAAUACAGACUGAAAACCCUGGAGCUAUGAACCCAAAUAAAUCUUUCUACUCAGAAACAGCUCAAAAUAAAUCUCUUACUCAUAAGAUGAUUAUCACAGAUCACAGUAACAGCUUAAAAUACCCCACAAAACCGGCUAAGCAUAAACACAUGCUUAAACACAUGCUUGAGCACAUGUAAACAUUUCAAAAGUUUAAAAGCCUUUCACCCACAGAGACCUUGAGUUGGAAUAACAUUUUAACCACUUAGAACUGGAAAAGAUCUACCAAAUCAAUCAUGUUACUUAACUCAGCUGGAAACUAGCCAGCUGGCCAGGCAUUGCCUGUGUGAAUACCAUCUGAAGAGCUCAAUAC